AUUGAACGCUGUCGGCGUGCCUAAUACAUGCACGUCGAACGCAGUGGGGACGGGUGAGUAACACGUGGGUAACCUCCCAUCAGAGGGGAUAACACUUGGAAACAGGUGCUAAACCGAUACUGAUGGAUGGACCCGCGGGGCCUUAGCUAGGUGGUGAGGUAACGGCUCACCAAGGCCACGUUGCAUAGCCUGCCUUGAGGGGGGGUAAGUCAGACUGGGACUGAGACACGGCCCAGACUCCUAUGGAGGGAAGCAGUAGGGAAUCGGGUGUAGAGGACGGAAGUCGGACGUAGCCACGCCGCGUGUGUGAAGAAGGUUUUAGGAUCGUAAAGUUCUGUUGUGAGGGAAGCGUUAUCUAAACAAGAAGCCGCGGCUAACUACGUGCCAGCGGCCGCGGUAAUAC
rnacentral:rRNA from 1 species